GAUGAACGCUGGCGGCGUGCCUAAUACAUGCAAGUCGAGCGAACAGAUGAGGAGCUUGCUCCUCUGACGUUAGCGGCGGACGGGUGAGUAACACGUGGAUAACCUACCUAUAAGACUGGGAUAACUUCGGGAAACCGGAGCUAAUACCGGAUAAUAUAUUGAACCGCAUGGUUCAAUAGUGAAAGACGGUUUUGCUGUCACUUAUAGAUGGAUCCGCGCCGCAUUAGCUAGUUGGUAAGGUAACGGCUUACCAAGGCAACGAUGCGUAGCCGACCUGAGAGGGUGAUCGGCCACACUGGAACUGAGACACGGUCCAGACUCCUACGGGAGGCAGCAGUAGGGAAUCUUCCGCAAUGGGCGAAAGCCUGACGGAGCAACGCCGCGUGAGUGAUGAAGGUCUUCGGAUCGUAAAACUCUGUUAUUGGGGAAGAACAAAUGUGUAAGUAACUAUGCACGUCUUGACGGUACCUAAUCAGGAAGCCACGGCUAACUACGUG
rnacentral:rRNA from 1 species